rnacentral:misc_RNA from 1 species
GUACUAUUGUCUUCCACCUACAAGAUCCCCCAAACAUUAUUUUGUUUUGAAAUUGCCUUUCUUUCUCAACAUAAACUUUCAAAAUUGCCCAAACUUAAUGAUUUAAUAUUGUCUGCAAUGAAAACACAUCACUUAUUUUAUCUCCUCUAAUAUAUUACAACCUACAUUAAUCGCUUUUCUCCUUUUCUCACCUUUUUAUUAUUUUUCUUAUUUUGUCUCAACUUUAAAAAAU